rnacentral:lncRNA from 1 species
UUAAAUGGUGCGAAGAAAGCAUUAUGUUUUUAUAAAUUAUUUAAAUCUUUUUAUUGAACCGAUAAACCCGUAACGUAUAUAAUCUAGAAUGACUUAUGUUUUUCAUAUAGCAUUCUAUCACAUGUUCUACCAACUGAUAUGUUUCCACAAAAUUCAUAUUUAAUGAAAACAUGUUAAUUAAAAAUCAGAUAAAAUAAAAAAAAACCUUAAUUAAC